AUUGAACGCUGGCGGCAUGCUUUACACAUGCCAGUCGAACGGCAGCGCGGGGCAACCUGGCGGCGAGUGGCGAACGGGUGAGUAAUACAUCGGAACGUACCCAGAAGUGGGGGAUAACGUAGCGAAAGUUACGCUAAUACCGCAUACGUUCUACGGAAGAAAGUGGGGGACCUUCGGGCCUCAUGCUUUUGGAGCGGCCGAUGUCUGAUUAGCUAGUUGGUGAGGUAAAGGCUCACCAAGGCGACGAUCAGUAGCUGGUCUGAGAGGACGACCAGCCACACUGGGACUGAGACACGGCCCAGACUCCUACGGGGGGCAGCAGUGGGGAAUUUUGGACAAUGGGCGCAAGCCUGAUCUAGCAAUGCCGCGUGAGUGAAGAAGGCCUUCGGGUUGUAAAGCUCUUUUGUCAGGGAAGAAACGGCUGAGGAUAAUACCUUCGGCUAAUGACGGUACCUGAAGAAUAAGCACCGGCUAACUACGUG
rnacentral:rRNA from 1 species